CUCUUCAGUGGUCGGGAUAAUUAUUGGGCUUAAAGUGUCCGUAGCCGGUUUAGUAAGUUCCUGGUAAAACCGGGCAGCUUAACUGUCCGUAUGCUAGGAAUACUGCUAUGCUAGAGGGCGGGAGAGGUCUGAGGUACCACAGGGGUAGGGGUGAAAUCUUAUAAUCCUUGUAGGACCACCAGUGGCGAAAGCGUCAGACUGGAACGCGCCUGACGGUGAGGGACGAAAGCCAGGGGAGCGAACCGGAUUAGAUACCCGGGUAGUCCUGGCCGUAAACGAUGCAUACUAGGCAAUGGUGCGGCCAUGAGCCGCAUCAGUACCGUAGGGAAACCGUUAAGUGUGCCGCCUGGGAAGUACGGUCGCAAGGCUAAAACUUAAAGGAAUUGGCGGGGGAGCACCACAAGGGGUGAAGCCUGCGGUUCAAUUGGACUCAACGCCGGGAAACUUACCAGGGGAGACAGCAGAAUGACAGUCAGGUUGACGACCUUACUCGACGAGCUGAGAGGAGGUGCAUGGCCGUCGCCAGUUCGUGCUGUGAGGUAUCCUGUUAAGUCAGGCAACGAACGAGAUCCGCGCCUUUAUUUGCCAUCAAGAAGUCACGACUUCGUUGGGAACACUAAAGGGACCGCCGUCGAUAAGUCGGAGGAAGGAGGCGGGCAAAGGCAGGUCAGUAUGCCCCGGAAACCCCUGGGCUACACCGCGGGCUUGCAAUGUUGCGAACAAUGGGCUGUAACUUCGAAAGGAGAAAGCAAUCCCGAAAUCGCAUCUCAGUGGGGAUUGUCGACUGUAACUCGUUGACAUGAACGUGGAA
rnacentral:rRNA from 1 species